UUCACAGGCAGCUUUGUGCACAUCAGGAGACGAGGAGAGGGGAGGCGGACAGCAGGCUCUUAUAAAUAACCCCCCCUGUUGCAGCUGCAUGCAUAAAACCAACCAAAACAUUCCCUUCAUUUCAUGACGUCCUGCGUGUCGUUAGUCGGAGAACUGGUGUACAAUAGCAAAUCCCACAUCGAAGAGUGAGGAAGAGGAGAGCGAACCGGUCCAAGGAGGUGAACGGGUUUGGCUGGGCCUGGCUAUGACGUAGCAGACGACGCUAAGCUCGACUGCAUGUAUUUGUUGGGGUUAAAUGACCGCUAGUGACCUCAAAGCAAAGGCUUUGUUUUAGCACGCUUAGCAUCGCAUUGGAGCUUUUUUUUUAUUCUUUUAAAAUGCACCUCCAAUAAAGGUAAUCUUGGCCGGGGAGUUCCAUUUUCCGAAUUCGCGGAAUCGGAGCUGUCAUUAGCACGGCUAGGCUAAUUUAGCACCCUGCUAGCUAGCUAGCUCGAGCUAACCACAAGCUAGGCUAUUAGCUUUAGCUGCUAAUGGAUAAAGCCAAGUCAAUGGUGGACAAGAAGGGGGCGUCAGGACACUUCCACGCCGGUCAGAGGAGCUGCAACGGGCACGUCAAUGGCUGCGCCAACCCCGGGCUAGCUUCUGCGAGCGGACCCGAGAACAACCACCACCGCCAUCAUGUCCACCGCGGGGCGGCGAACGCAGAGUGCAACGGUUCGCCGGCAAAGAGGAGCCGGCUCCGGAGAAGGACGGAGUCCGUGAGGCGGCACAGACCCCCGUUCCCCUGGUUUGGUAUGGACAUAGGAGGCACGCUGGUCAAGCUGGUGUAUUUCGAGCCGGUCGAUAUAACUGCAGAAGAAGAGCAGGAGGAAGUGGAAAACCUCAAAUCCAUCCGCCGCUACCUCACCUCAAACGUGGCCUAUGGUAAGACGGGCGUACGCGACGUUCACCUGGAGCUGAAGAACUUGACCAUGUGCGGCCGCACGGGAAACCUGCACUUCAUCCGCUUCCCCACGCAGGCCAUGCCCCGCUUUAUUCAGAUGGGCCACGAGAAGAACUUCUCCAGCUUGCACACCACGCUCUGUGCCACCGGCGGCGGCGCAUACAAGUUUGAGGACGACUUCCGCACUGUGGCCGAGCUGGAGCUCCUGAAGCUGGACGAGCUGGACUGCCUGAUCCGGGGCCUGCUGUUCCUCGACCAGGUGGGCUUUAACGGCCACCCGGAGUGCUACUACUUCCAGAAUCCCUCGGACACGCAGAGCUGCAUCAAGCAGCCAUGCACGCUGGACAACCCCUUCCCUAUGCUGCUGGUCAACAUCGGUUCCGGGGUCUCCAUCCUGACUGUGUACUCCGAAGGCAACUAUAAGCGGGUGACCGGCACCAGUCUGGGAGGUGGUACAUUCCUCGGCCUUUGCUGCCUAUUGACCGGCUGCGAGACGUUUGAGGAGGCUCUGGAGAUGGCCAGCAAAGGCGACUCCACCAACGUGGACAAGCUGGUGAAGGACAUUUACGGGGGAGACUACGAGCGCUUUGGUCUGCAGGGUUCCAUUGUGGCAUCCAGUUUUGGUCAUAUGAUGAGCAAAGAGAAGCGCGACACCAUCAGCAAAGAGGACCUAGCCCGAGCUACUUUGGUCACCAUCACUAACAACAUCGGCUCCAUAGCUCGCAUGUGUGCCGUCAACGAGAAAAUUGAACGUGUGGUUUUUGUCGGCAACUUCCUCCGUAUCAACACCGUGUCAACCAAACUGCUGGCCUACGCCAUGGACUUCUGGUCCAAGGGACAACUACGAGCGCUCUUCCUGGAACAUGAGGGUUACUUUGGAGCCGUGGGUGCAUUGAUGGAGCUUCUCAAAACGACGGAGGACCUGUGAGUCAUCAGUACGUCACCCCCCCUGUCCCUCAACUGUGAUGUCACCAACUCUCGAUGCUGCUGUCGCCGCUCAUUCUGAGUGGCUGCUAAAGGAACCACCAAGACACGCUUGGGAAAAGUGGGAAAAGCCAUUGGGAACGUGUGUAAAUAGAAAGAACUCUUAAUAUUCCCACUUGGUCGUAGAGGUUCGAAUAUUCUAAUCACUAAUUUAUGCUAAUUAACUCUGUCCUUGCCUGUGAGCCUCCCCUGGAACAGAAUGUGUUUUUAAUAAUGUGUGAUGAGCUACUGUAGCAGCACGCCCUCAAGACGGCGCCACCUGUGUGUGUUGAAGUAACGGUGCAUUGUCACACACACACACACACAGCAGGAACUCGAACAGCAGUCCUCCAUGGGAUACGGUAACGCUGCUCCCUUCAGGUGUCAUAGGAAACUGCACAUGGCCUUUUUGUUCUUGUCUUUUUUCCCCCCCGACCGCCUCCGCAGGACCAACACUGUGUCUUCCAGGCUUCACGUUCACAUUUUUUGUACAUCAUCGCCUCUUUGCUGCCUUGUUUGGUUUUUUUCCUUCUCCAUCGCCCGGCCCCUUAAAGCACUGGAAUGAAUGGUGCCAUCUCCGGACCAAGACCCACAAAGUGCAAGUAUAAUAAAUAGGACUUGAACGAGUUCGGCUUUUUAAAGGAACAUGGACCAAGACGCACGUAAACCGAUAAUAAUAAUAGGUUAAACCGUUUGAUCCGUAACGCCCGUCGCUUUAAUUGUCACGUAUCUUGGCAACUAUCGCCUUCUACCACAUGUUGUGCCAUCGCCUCUACGCCCUUCUUCUUCACUUAAAUACCUCUCAGCAACACAUUGGAGUCAAAUAGCAUCCAAUUAAAGAUCCCAUCUUAUACUGUUAGAGUCCCCACAAGAGUCUUGGUAGUUGACCGAGCUUUAUUGUAAGACGUGUAGCGAAGCCUGCUUUGUGUGUGUUUCAGUGACUCUUAUCUCAAAAGUAAGCCUCGGAUAUAUCGGAUUCAAUUGUUCCCACUGGUUUUGUCCGAUAUAAGCGAAAUCCGUUAUAUGCGUAUACCGGAAAAUGUCCGUUUUACGCAUAUAUCGGAUUUAUAUCCGGUAUAUGCGUAAAUCGGAUUUUAUCCGUUAUAAAAAGGCACUUCCUUGACUAUGUUUCCAAUGUACCUGGACGCGCAGGCAACGCUGCAAACGCUGCAAAUGACGUCGUAUAGCGGCCUGUCACGAUUCGGCGAAUCGGAGCCCCACGAUGCGGCCAUCCGAUAUAUGCGAGGGAAAUUUAAUGGAAAUGCAUUGGAACGGGACUGGAGAUUUUGUCCGAAAUAGGCGAAAUCUGUUAUAAAAAAUCCGAUAUAUGCAAUGAAUUUUUAUUGGAAAUGCAUUACAGAAAAAUUCUUUUUUAUCUGUCCGUUGUGAGCGAAUUUCCGAUAUAUCCGAGUCCGAUAUAUCCAAGGUUUACUGUAUUUUUCUUCCAUUUGUGACUAGAAACCAGCCAACUUGAGCAUGUCUAUGAUCAUAAAAGCCUCCAGGAACCCAUUACCGAUACAUCAUAGCGGACCUUUCAUUGUAAGUACGGUUUGUCCAGUAACCGCCGCCCCCACCCCCACACAUUUGGAACGCUUUAUGUCUGGCACAUUUCAGGUUUUUGACCAACUGAAAACAUCACUUGGUUGACACAGAAACCGGAAGCAAACACAUGACAUUGUUGACUCGGGGAAACACGCCUUGGGUUUGUCAUGUAUCCUGUUAGCGUAGGAUAAUUUGACCACAAAAUGAAAGGGCAACCAGUUUAUUUGCUGGUGUACUUCCAGUUCUUAGUUGUUUUUAAUGACUCUGCGUCAUUUGUAGUCAUUAUCUCACGGUGGAAGUGACGGGAAGAAAAUCUCAGACUUGAAGUCGUUUAGAACUCGAAUAAAUCGAAUUGUUGACUGUUUUGACUCUUGCGACAAGAUCCGAAAAGUCACAUGGUUUCGGGCAAUCCUGGUCUAUUGUCCAAGUCGUUAAUUUGCGGUUUAUGCCUUGAUGGAGUGGUAGCCUUGACCCGCAGGAUGCCCUCCCCCCCACCUCCCCGAACCGCCACCCUUGCCUGCUUUCAUUUGUCUUGAUGCUUCCAUGUCCUCUCAAAGUGUCUUCUCCAUUGCUAUGUUGUUUAUUUUCCUUUUUUUUUUUUUUUUUUAAACCAGAAGCCCUCUGCUAUGUCGCGGUACUACAAUGGGGGGAAAAAACCUCAACAAUCUACACGAUACUGUAUAUAAAACUCUUUUUUUUUUUAUGUUCGUUGUGGUUUACAUGUUCUCUCAAAGGCCUUUUUUUCCCCCCUUGUAAAGCAUUUUAAAGUUGAAAAACACCCCUUUUGAAAUCCACUAUGGACUAUAUUUAUUGUUGAACUACAACAUCUGCAAACUUGUGAACUCGUACAUAAGUUACACCUGCACCGGCUAUUGAGCUCCAAUACAAAGAAUAACAAUGCUUACUUUAAUUUGACUAAUUUAUUAAUGGAUUGGAUCGCAUCAGAUUGUGUGCAGGUCCUGGUAAUAUGACGAUUAAGGCUGCUGAGUUUGUGUGUGAUGUGUUUUUAAAGAUUAUUUAAUAUUGUUAUGAUGUAAUUUAUGCAAAUGAAUCACCUGUGGAGAUAUAUGUGUUUAGAUUUUGCUAACAGAGGGAUAAUAUACUGGACGGUCUCAUAUGUCGGGCAUAAUUUAUCGCAAUUUUUGACGAUAAUGUGUUGUUACGGUACUUAUAAAAAUGAUAUUGAGCAACCAAAACGACAAACUUUGUACGCGUUUUCCUUUAAAUUCGUCCCUUAUGUUAGAUUCACUACAUUUUCUAUUGGGUUAGCUUGAUUUUAAGAGUAACGACACAAUGCGGCCAAUUUAAAUGAAGGCCCAACGAAUGUAAAGGCGACAGUCAAGUCACGACUCGCUCAUUCGAUACAAAUUCAAUUACAUUUCUUGUAAAAGCCUUACAUUUUGCUUGUACAGUGGAAACUCGGUUAGCAUCUUUUUCGGUUAACGUCCAAAAUGUCCGCCAUAUUCUCCACCUAGCAUACAAUAUGAGGUGCGGCUGGUUGUGUUGCUAAUACACUGUGUGAAUCCAACCGUGUUCUCAAUGUAUUUUUGUUAUUUAUGUUAGCAUCCUAUCAGCUAGCUAAACAAAACGACAACCAGAACUGGAAGUCGGUUACAAUUCAUGAAUAUAAAUAACGAUGAUGAACAUUUAAGGUUACUUUUACCUUUAUUUAAGGUUAACUGACUGAACAUUGACUGUUUCCAAAGACAAUACAUCAACAAUCAUGUCAUAAUAGGUAAGUCAUAAAUGUUCAUUCAUCAUUUAUAUGUUUCUGAUUGGUUUCUGAUUGUCAAAGUAUAAUUGUAAAACUAAGAGAACACCAUUUUUGACUUUGUAUAACAAAUUAAUCUGAUUUAAAUGAUUUCUUAUGGGGAAAAUGGUUAGCAUUUUGGUUUAGCAAUUUGGUUAGCAUUUGUUUUGCUUACAGAAUUAAUGAUGCUAACCAAGACUCCACUGUACUACAUUUAGAACAAUGCAAAAGCAAUUUUAUUUAAGUAAUUUGUUUUUCUACCUUGCCUGCGAUGACUUGCUAACAAUUAUGAUACCAAUCCUGAGUCAUACACUAUUGAUAUCGUGUCAAAUUCAAUUUUGAUACCUUUUAACGGCCUUAUUGUUUUUGUUUACUACUUUUUUAAAACACACUGUAUGAAAUCGUUUAGUCAAAAAACAAGAAUUUGUUUUGUUUGCUCUCUCACAAUGAUUUCUUUACUAGCUAAAAUGCUAACAGUUCGCUAACAAUGUGCUGGAACCGUAAUAAAAACGACACAACUUUGGCCAAAUUCUUCUAAAUUGACGACUGAAUGCUAUGACAGAAUCCCAAAUCACACUAAUUUGAUAUCUUGUUUAUCAGCCAUAUUUUUGUAAUGUUCUACUUUUUUAAAAGCACCCGGUUUUGUUUUUGAUGAUUACCCUGUUAGCGAAAAUGCUAACAAAAGUGCUGGAACCAUGUCUUUGAAUCCCAUCUCGUAUGUCAACUCACUCAUUUUGAUACUUUGUCAAAUUCAAUGUAUGACCUUUUUACAACUUAAUUUGAUUCAUUUGCUACUUUUGAGCAUUUUUUGAAAUCUUGAGAGUAUCAUUGUGUUAGCGUCAAUGCUAACACAAAUGCUCUCUGUCGUCCACAUGAGGCUCGCCAUCUUGUCCCUCAGUCCGCUAAUGAAAGACUUGUGUCCUGCUGAUGUAUUUAUAAACACUAUUAAAGGUGGACGGGAUGUUUUUGUGCUCUUUUAAACAGAAAUGUAACCGUGAAACCCGGCUAUCGCUACACGGAUCAGCCGUGACAUAAUAUAGACUCCCAUGUUGCACAACUUUCUCUUUGUUUUAAAGACAUUUCCUUAUUGCUAUUAUUUUAAUGGUGAUGUAACAUCCUUUUUGAUGGCCUUUUAACUGGAAUGCUUGACUGGCAUGUCCCAUUUUAUUGUUUGUGUGUGUGUGUAUGUGUGUAUUGUACAGAGAUUUUGUAAAUAGUAAUAAUGAUCUAUUCGACACCAGCAAGCGAUCCGUCGAGUCGCUCGUUUGAAUGAUGAUGAAUUCCACACUUGUUCGCAAAAUCGAGCACCUUCAGGGUGUUGACGGAAGGCGCUGCAACAGGAACAGUAGACCGGCUUAAGAGACAUGGCCAGGUGACACCACAAACAGAAUCCAGCAAAAUGGGACCCUGUUGUGAAUGCGUGCACAUUAAAAAAUCCUGCAAUCAGAAUAUUUGAUGAUACAUCUGGAACAACAGGAUGGGAGGUCAGGCAUUUUGGGGUCAAAGUAGGCCCACCAUGUUUUGGUUUUUUUUUGGAUAGUAUCAGUGUUGUAACAAAGGCGAGACACAGUUUUGGGACUGACAUGUCACAUUUCAACACCUGAGACCCAUAUUGUACUGUAUUACCACAUUCCGGCAAAAUUCUGCAACGUCAUCUAUAACAGUAAAUACCUCCAUUAACACAUCUGUGCAUUUCACACAGAAUCUAAGAAAGUCGCACAUUGAGAAUCCCGGAAUCAAACAUGAAAUGCAUGAUGAUGUCAGCAUCAGACGUAAAAUAUUGUUUUCGAUGUAUCAUUUCAACCCGGCAGGAGAAUUGAGUGGGGUACGCUUUCACACAGAAUCCCGAAAACUCUCAUCCCCUUAAAUCCUGUUCUCCUGUGCUGUUUUGCUGCUUUGCUAAGUGUUUUAUAUGUCACAUAGCCUGAUGCCAUUCACUUAUCUGAUUGUGGGACUCUGACAGUGCACACAUUUACAGCCUGUUCUGGGUUCUGUGUGAAAUGCGUCUCUUAUGCGUCUUUUUUUCAGGAUUUUUGUGUG